ensembl:lncRNA
AUGAAGAGGAUGGCGAUGAAGGUGCACCUGCUGGUGUUGGCUGUCGUUUUAUCGAUUUCUUCAAUUUCCAGAGGAGAAAACGUCACGUCUGUUUCUGCAGGCGAUGCGACAGGUGCUCCGGACGCCUCGAGUCCGUCGCCACGCGAGACCAGCGGCCCGCCGGCGACUCAAACAGCCGCCAAUCGAUCGGACCGGGGCACAGCGGUCUCCAUGACUCCAGAAGGACGAAAAGACGUUUCAAACAACUCGACAGAGGACACCGUCACCAGCACGGCGCCCCCGCUGACCCCCGUCAGUACCGCCGUCAGUACCGCCGUCAGUACCGCCGUCAGAACCGGCGUCAGAACCGGCGUCAGAACCGGCGUCAGAACCGGCGUCAGAACCGGCGUCGGUACCGGCGUCGGUACCGGCGUCGGUUCCGGCGAUGAGAGAACGCAGGGGACUGCAGGCUACGUGGUCCUCGGCUUGAUCGUCCUGGUGAUCAUCGUUCUGUCUGUGAUCCUCUACUUCCUCAAGAGAGCCUCCCAGACGUACUCGUUCGACCUCCACUCGGCUCCCGCCGGCCGUCCCAACCAACCCGUCGGCACCUUCGAGCGCGUCCACCUGAGCGACCUGGAUCGACCGCCUAGCAGAGAGACCGCCGGCGACCUCUCACCUCCCGCUGUGUCCAACGGCUCCACCCGGCAGGCGGAGGAGCGGCGCUCCGACGGAGGGAGCGUCCCACCAGGAGAGCCGGACGCCAGCGGGCCGGAGACCCCGCCCACCGGCGCCGACCCCCCCGACGCCCCCUCGCCGUACAGCCUGGAGAUCAUGACCGACAUCUUCUUCGAUGCUGUUGAGGAGGAGCAGGAGAACGAGAACAACCCCGCCGCCUGCUCCCGCGACCCGUUUGUUGAAAUCAACCUCGACGAGGUGGCGUUGUGCCACCAGCUGCUCGCCCCCCCUCCCUCUUCUCUCCUCCCCAUCUCCUUCUCCUCGUCAUCCGCCUCAUCGUCCUGCACGUCUCUGCACAUCCAGUAGAAGAACCCGCCACUGCGUCUGUGAGCAGUCGCUCUAAACUUGUGGAAGAUUUUGCAGACAACCGGUAAAUAAGAAUAAAAGCUCGGAGUCAAAUACGUCUUUCUCCGUUUAUUUCUUACAACAGCUGCUCAGUAGACUGCCAGGAACCUCCCUCCUCCAACGGUUCUCCUACCUUCAGGUGGUCUCCAAACCUACUUGCUGUGUCUCUGGUCAGGACUUACAGGGGGGGUCACAUGAACAAUGAGACCUCGUGAAGGCUUAGUACACGUUACAGGUGUGUGUGGUACGAGUGGACGUGUCUGAACUCGGUCAAGCUGAAUAAGCUUAAGCUGGUUGAGAGAGAAUCCGGUCAUUUUUCAAAAUAAAAUAUUUCUCAGAGAGAAAAAAAAUCGAAUGUGUACUAAAAGUAUCCCACAAAGUAACACACAGUACUCCGUAUUGACUACAACGUGUGUACCUGUAAUACUGGUAAUUACCUGGGGAGAUUCGAAGGUGAUAAAAGCGUCUCAAACGUCACACUUCCGGUGGAGCAACCGCUAGCAGAGCUAGCUAGCGUUAGCUCGUCUACGCUCCCCACGGAAGGCCCACUGGGUCGGAACUGGCUCCGUGAGGAGGUUCACCGAGGAGGUUCUCACGGGGAAACAUGAAAACCUGCAGACCAACACGGCGAGAAGACUUCCUGGUUAGUGGGGGUCGCACUGCUGUUGCGUUAAAGGACGAUGCAGAAAUCCCGUGUUUUUCAUUCUGCUGUUGAAGCGUCGCUGCGAGAAGGUGAAGUUUAGUACAUUACAACAUGGAAUAUAGACACGAGAAACAAUUCACUGUGAGCCGCAUACGUUUUGUCACCACGUCCUCUCUUCUCUGGGGUCGGGUCAGCAAAAUGGAUCAAAGUAUCUCUUUCGCACUUCCUGUUUGAGCGAUUUGAAUAUGUAAUUUCCCGGUUCUUGGAACGGCCCUGAACUUCGCACAAAGCAGAGCUAAACUGAGCUGAUCUUUAAUGAGAUAAACUACCUCCCUUAUGUAUUUGAU